rnacentral:rRNA from 1 species
GCGUAAGCGCACGCAGGCGGUCUGUCAAGUCGGAUGUGAAAUCCCCGGGCUCAACCUGGGAACUGCAUUCGAAACUGGCAGGCUAGAGUCUUGUAGAGGGGGGUAGAAUUCCAGGUGUAGCGGUGAAAUGCGUAGAGAUCUGGAGGAAUACCGGUGGCGAAGGCGGCCCCCUGGACAAAGACUGACGCUCAGGUGCGAAAGCGUGGGGAGCAAACAGGAUUAGAUACCCUGGUAGUCCACGCCGUAAACGAUGUCGACUUGGAGGUUGUGCCCUUGAGGCGUGGCUUCCGGAGCUAACGCGUUAAGUCGACCGCCUGGGGAGUACGGCCGCAAGGUUAAAACUCAAAUGAAUUGACGGGGGCCCGCACAAGCGGUGGAGCAUGUGGUUUAAUUCGAUGCAACGCGAAGAACCUUACCUACUCUUGACAUCCAGAGAACUUUCCAGAGAUGGAUUGGUGCCUUCGGGAACUCUGAGACAGGUGCUGCAUGGCUGUCGUCAGCUCGUGUUGUGAAAUGUUGGGUUAAGUCCCGCAACGAGCGCAACCCUUAUCCUUUGUUGCCAGCGGUUAGGCCGGGAACUCAAAGGAGACUGCCAGUGAUAAACU